rnacentral:rRNA from 1 species
UAGGGAAUCUUCCACAAUGGACGCAAGUCUGAUGGAGCAACGGCCGCGUGAGUGAAGAAGGUUUUCGGACCGUAAAGCUCUGUUGUUGGUGAAGAAGGAUAGAGGUAGUAACUGGCCUUUAUUUGACGGUAAUCAACCAGAAAGUCACGGCUAACUACGUGCCAGCAGCCGCGGUAAUCGUAGGUGGCAAGCGUUGUCCGGAUUUAUUGGGCGUAAAGCGAGCGCAGGCGGAAGAAUAAGUCUGAUGUGAAAGCCCUCGGCUUAACCGAGGAAUUGCAUCGGAAACUGUUUUCUUGAGUGCAGAAGAGGAGAGUAGAACUCCACGUGUAGCGGUGGAAUGCGUAGAUAUAUGGAAGAAUACCAGUGGCGAAGGCGGCUCUCUGGUCUGCAACUGACGCUGAGGCUCGAAAGCAUGGGUAGCGAACAGGAUUAGAUACCCUGGUAGUCCAUGCCGUAAACGAUGAGUGCUAAGUGUUGGGAGGCUUCCGCCUCUCAGUGCUGCAGCUAACGCAUUAAGCACUCCGCCUGGGGGAGUACGACCGCAAGGUUGAAAC